UAAGUUAGACGUGAGUAUGGCUAUACAAA
rnacentral:miRNA from 1 species